rnacentral:rRNA from 1 species
GUGGGGAAUAUUGGGCAAUGGGGGAAACCCUGACCCAGCAACGCCGCGUGAAGGAAGAAGGUUUUCGGAUCGUAAACUUCUAUCCUUGGUGAAGAUAAUGACGGUAGCCAAGAAGGAAGCCCCGGCUAACUACGUGCCAGCAGCCGCGGUAAUACGUAGGGGGCAAGCGUUGUCCGGAAUGAUUGGGCGUAAAGGGCGCGUAGGCGGCCUGGUAAGUCUGGAGUGAAAGUCCUGCUUUUAAGGUGGGAAUUGCUUUGGAUACUGUCGGGCUUGAGUGCAGGAGAGGUAAGCGGAAUUCCCGGUGUAGCGGUGAAAUGCGUAGAGAUCGGGAGGAACACCAGUGGCGAAGGCGGCUUACUGGACUGUAACUGACGCUGAGGCGCGAAAGUGUGGGGAGCAAACAGGAUUAGAAACCCUAGUAGUCC